CGGGCGGUGGGCUAGUGGUUAUGCCGUCAGUUUUGGGAACUGAUAAUCGGCGGUUCAAAUCCGCCCCGCCCGA
rnacentral:tRNA from 1 species